CCUACGGGAGGCAGCAGUGGGGGAUAUUGCACAAUGGGGGAAACCCUGAUGCAGCGACGCCGCGUGUGGGAAGACGGUCCUCUGGAUUGUAAACCACUGUCCCCAGGGACGAAGAUGACGGUACCUGGGGAGGAAGCUCCGGCUAACUACGUGCCAGCAGCCGCGGUAAUACGUAGGGAGCGAGCGUUGUCCGGAAUUACUGGGUGUAAGGGGAGCGUAGGCGGGACUGCAAGUUGGGUGUCAAAUCUACCGGCUCAACCGGUAGCCGCACUCAAAACUGCAGUUCUUGAGUGAAGUAGAGGCAGGCGGAAUUCCUAGUGUAGCGGUGAAAUGCGUAGAUAUUAGGAGGAACACCAGUGGCGAAGGCGGCCUGCUGGGCUUUUACUGACGCUGAGGCGCGAAAGUGUGGGGAGCAAACAGGAUUAGAUACCCCUGUAGUC
rnacentral:rRNA from 1 species